rnacentral:tRNA from 1 species
GAGAUUUAUGCUAAAAUAAAAGCUUCUAACUUUUCUUUAAGCGGUUAAAUUCCGUUAAAAUCUCA